CAUCCGGGUCUUGCUGCCGAUAUCUGAUGUGGACCUGAGGAGGGCGGAGGGACCGUGUGGUGUGAGCAUGCCUCAGGCACCAAGCAGUCACGUUACACUGAAAAGUGGUCUGACGUCAUCAAGCCCCCGUUCCCAUGAGGUCCUGGGACUGACUCGCUGCCAAUAGCAACGGAACCGCUGGUGGCGUCCGCAGGCAGCAGGCACCCAGAACCUGCGAUAGCGGGGUCGGUUUUUGUUCUUCCUGUUUGAGCUCUGCUUCAGAUGACCCUUUCCAGGAAAACUUCUGGAUCUUUCCCUGUGCACUCUGCUGCGAGCCCUUCCUGAGGAGUCCUAGAGAGUUACAUCAGGGACCCAAGAAGCAAGGUGGUCUGCCAUGAAUCACAAGGCAGACCUUUGGCAGAUGAGGCAACGGGCCCCUUGGUCAGCUUCUUACCACCCCACCCUGGACACCACUGGCCUCAGGGAUGAUGUGAAGCAGGCUCGACCCUGAACGGUCAGAACUGAAAACAGCAUCUUUCCUAGGGACGCUCCCCCCCUUUUUUUUUAAACCGCCUGCACAAAGUCCAUGCCUGUGGCCCACAGAUGGGCUGCCCAGUAUGUUGGGGAAGGUUGUGGAGCAAGGCUGGGCCAGUGACCCAGCAUUCCCCAGGGCAGGGUUAUUCCUAGCUUGGGUAUCAGAAUUAGUUCAUUCUUCCCCAGAGCUCCUGGUUUUUCUAUUUCUUGUCCCACUUUAUUAAAGACAUGUGCCGGCUGUGUCAGUAAAGAACAAAGAGAAGGCGUAGCAAAUGCCUCAUGCUGAGACGUGUGAGUUCAGCCUCUCCGAAAAGUCAAGACUGGGAGUGGGUAGCCCAGACCCACUACUCCCUGGCCCCUGAGACACUGUCCUACAAAUAGCAAAGGGACUUCUGGGUAUGCUAACACAGGAUGAGGCAGCUGCACUUGUCAUUUUCAUAUCUUCAAGGUCAGGGUAUGGGCAAUCAAGGUGCAGGGCAAUCAGGUUGGGCGGUUUGGAUUGUGGGGUAUCAGGGACCUUCUAUUUAGAAAGGCAUGCAAAUUGUUCAGUGUGGUCUCCACUUCGUGACACUCCUGUGCCCCAGCCGCAGGGGCCGCACCUUGAACUGGGACAGGGAAGGGAGUGAGUUUACUGGUACGACUGCCCACAGGACUAAACAGCCUGGGGGUCAAAUCUUUCCCAAAUCUCCCAAAGCCAUGAAAGGAAUGCGUUACCGCCUGAGGGAAGCCACAGCCACAGGGCCUGUCCUGGGAGGUACAGGUGGCGGGGGAGAGCCCAUGACCAUUUCAGGAAGCUGGGAAAACCUGUAAGCCUGUGAAGAGACGAGCAAAUUAGAGAGAGCUGUUUAAACCAGUGUCCCCCAGCACAAAGCUCCUUAUUUAAGGAGGAAGAACCCUUCCAGGGGCCAGACCCUCAGUCCUCCCUCACAUGUGUCCCCUAGAUCUUCCUUACCCCAGUCCCCACGCUCAUCCCAUGCGCCUCUCUCUCUGUGGCUCUGGUUCGCUUGGACCACUGCAGUCCCAGAGCCCUUCAGUGGCCUUAGAGCACACUUUCCUCCUCGGGCUUUGGCAAAUGCUGCUCCCUCUUCCUGGCAUGAUUUUCUCCUGGUUCUGCCCAUCGCUCCUUCCUUUAUAGCAUUCAACCUGCCCCAUACCUCCCUUUUCUCUGUCUAAGGAAAUGAGUACUUAUUGGCUAAAUUAUAGGGCUCCUUGCUUAUUCAUCAUCCGCCACCAGCUAGACUGUAAUCUGAGGUUUUAAGGGUAAGGUUUUGUUGUCAGUAAUAUCAUGCCUGGAAUAGUGCGUAGCAGAAGAUCAAUAAAUAUUAGCGCAGAAGAAGGAAUGAA